GGAUUAGAUACCCUGGUAGUCCACGCCGUAAACGAUUAGAACUAGAUGUCGGGAGGAAUUGCCUUUCGGUGUCGCAGCUAACGCGUUAAGUUCUCCGCCUGGGGAGUACGCCGUCAACGGUAAAACUCAAAGGAAUUGACGGGGACCCGCACAAGCGGUGGAGCAUGUGGUUUAAUUCGAUGCAACGCGAAGAACCUUACCUGCCCUUGACAUCCUCGGAACUUGUCAGAGAUGACUUGGUGCCUUCGGGAACCGAUUGACAGGUGCUGCAUGGCCGUCGUCAGCUCGUGCUG
rnacentral:rRNA from 1 species